UGGGGAAUUUUUCGCAAUGGGGGCAACCCUGACGAAGCAACGCCGCGUGGAGGAUGAAGGCCCUAGCGGUCGUAAACUCCUGUCUAGCGGGACGAAGGUACAAUUUGCAAAUAGCGUGUUGUAUUGACUGUACCGCUGGAGGAAGCUCCGGCUAACUCCGUGCCAGCAGCCGCGGUAAUACGGGGGGAGCAAGCGUUACUCGGAAUUAUUGGGCGUAAAGGGCGCGUAGGCGAUUGUACAAGUCUUGUGUGAAAGCCCAUGGCUUAACUGUGGAAGUGCAUGAGAGACUGUAUGAUUUGAGUACAGGAGAGGAAAGCAGAAUUCCCGGUGUAGCGGUGAAAUGCGUAGAUAUCGGGAGGAAUACCAGUGGCGAAGGCGGCUUUCUGGACUGUAACUGACGCUGAGGCGCGAAGGCUAGGGGAGCAAACGG
rnacentral:rRNA from 1 species